rnacentral:tRNA from 1 species
CAGAAAGUAACUUACACUUAAAGUAUCCGUUUAACAAUCGGAAGAUGCCACCCUACAGCCUUUCUGA